GCAGCUACACAUGCAGUCGAGCGGUAGCACAGGGGAGCUUGCUCCCUGGGUGACGAGCGGCGGACGGGUGAGUAAUGUCUGGGAAACUGCCUGAUGGAGGGGGAUAACUACUGGAAACGGUAGCUAAUACCGCAUAACGUCGCAAGACCAAAGAGGGGGACCUUCGGGCCUCUUGCCAUCAGAUGUGCCCAGAUGGGAUUAGCUAGUAAGUGGGGUAAUGGCUCACCUAGGCGACGAUCCCUAGCUGGUCUGAGAGGAUGACCAGCCACACUGGAACUGAGACACGGUCCAGACUCCUACGGGAGGCAGCAGUGGGGAAUAUUGCACAAUGGGCGCAAGCCUGAUGCACCCAUGCCGCGUGUGUGAAGAAGGCCUUCGGGUUGUAAAGCACUUUCAGCGAGGAGGAAGGUG
rnacentral:rRNA from 1 species